UAAAUAGACCAGCCGGCUUUGGCUGGCUGCUGUCUUCUUAGAGGGACUAUCAGCGUUUAGCUGAUGGAAGUUUGAGGCAAUAACAGGUCUGUGAUGCCCUUAGAUGUUCUGGGCCG
rnacentral:rRNA from 1 species